rnacentral:lncRNA from 1 species
GGGGCGGCGCGGGGGGGCGGCGGCGGCGGUGGCGGCGGUGCUGGUCCCGCUGUGCUCGGUGCGGGGCCGCCCCGCUCUGCUCUUCACCCUCCGGUCCCGCCGCCUGGGCGGCCCCCACAGCGGCGACGUCAGCUUCCCCGGGGGGCGGCGGGACCCGGCGGACGGCGACGCGGUGGCCACGGCGCUGCGGGAGACGCGGGAGGAGCUGGGGCUGGCGCUGGGACCCCCCAGUGUCUGGGGACAACUGCGGCUGCUGCCAGACCGGGUACCGGGGACACCGGCGGGGGGGGGGGCACAAGGACACCGGGGCAGGGGAUGGGGUCGGCGCGGGGAGCCAGAGGGUGUUUGGGGGGCACGGAGUGGCUGGGGACACCGGGGACACGGGAGGAGAAGGACGUGAGGACAUGGGGUGAACGAGGACAUGAGGACAUGGUGAACAUGGACGUGAGGACACGGGGGGACAGGGGGUGAACAAGGACGUGAGGACACGGGGGGACAUGGACAUGGGGUGACAUGGACAUGAGGUGAACAAGGACGUGAGGACACGGGGUGACAUGGACAUGGGGUGACAUGGACACAGGGUGAACAAGGAUGUGAGGAACAUGGGGUGACACAGACACGGGGUGACCUGGGCGUGAGGACACGGAAUGACAUGGACACGAGGUGAACAUGGAUGUGAGGACACAGGGUGACAUGGAUGGGGUGAACAACUAUGUGAGGAACAUGGGGUGAACAUGGAUGUGAGGACAUGGGGUGACUAAGGUCAUGAAGACACAGUGUGACAAGGACAUGGGGUGAACAAGGACAUGAGGACAUGGGGUGACUAAGGUCAUGAAGACACAGUGUGACAAGGACAUGGGGUGAACAAGGACAUGAGGACAUAGGGUGACACGGACAUGGGGUGAACAAGGAUGUGAGGAACAUGGGGUGACAUGGACACAGGGUGACCUGGAUGUGAGGACACGGAAUGACAUGGACAUGAGGUGAACACGGAUGUGAAGACACAGGGUGACAUGGACAUGAGGACAUGGGGUGAACAAGGACAUGAGGUGAGCAAGGACAUGGGGUGACGAAGGAUGUGAAGACAUGGGGUGAACAAGGACAUAGAGGGACCAAGGAUGUGAAGACAUGGGGUGAACAAGGACACAGGGGGAACAAGGAUGUGAAGACACGGGGUGACGUGGACAUGGGGUGACAUGGACUUGAGGACAUGGGGUGACAUGGACAUGGGGUGACAUGGACACGGGGUGACAUGGACACGAAGCAAACAAGGAUGUGAGGACACGGGGUGACAUGAACAGGGGGUGACUAAGGAUGUAAAACCACAGGGUGAUGAGGACACGGGGUGACAGGGACGAGACACCAGGGAGAUGGGUGUGAGGGUUUUGGGGAUGACAGGGA